AUGGACAACGAGAGCCUGGACAAGUGGCUCCACGACGACGCUCUCGCCGCCGGUGAGCACCCAAUGGCGGCGAGGGCGCGGUCUGCACGCCGCCAGCGGCUGGACUGGCCGACCAGGCUCAAGGUGGCCGUCGGCGCCGCGCCGGGGCUGUGUUACAUGCACCACGAAUGUGUGUCGCCCAUCGUUCAUCGCGACGUCAAGACGAGCAACAUCUUGCUGGACUCGGAGUUCCAGGCCAAGGUCGCUGACUUCGGCCUUGCCAGGAUGCUGGCGCAGGCCGAGGCGCCAGAGACCAUGUCCGUCGUGGCCGGCUCGUUCGGCUACAUGGCUCCUGUUGAUUUCAUCUCCUCUCACUUUCUUUCUGUUCGAUUUUGGCCCCUGCAGAUUGCAAGAACGGGACUGCUAAGCAAGCUAAGAUUUCAUUUUUUCUGGAUCAAUCUCAAAUUAGGAUUUCUCGGGGAGCGGAGGGUCGGCUAG